AUGAAGCAAUUUGUUGUUGACUAUAUUAAACAAUGCCCAACCUGUCAAAUAAACAAAGCUGAACACUGCAAGUACCCUGGGCUGCUCCAACCUCUGCCAGUCCCAGACUUUGCCUGGUGCCACAUAAGCAUGGAUUUUAUGGAAGGUCUUCCUACUUCUCACAACAAGAACAUGAUUUUGGUUGUGGUGGACAGGUUCACUAAAUACAACCACUUUAUCCCAAUGAAACACCCCAUUACAGCUAAUACUGUAGCUAAGGCUUUCACUGAUAACAUCUUCAAACUCCAUGGGUUACCAGCUGUGAUUGUCACUGACAGAGACAAAAUCUUCACUAGCAAGCUCUGGCAGGACUUGUUCAAGAAGUUGGGAAUAAAAUUACACAUGAGCACUUCGUACCACCCUCAGUCUGAUGGUCAGACAGAGAGAGUUAACCAAUGCUUGGAAAAUUAUCUCAGAUGCAUGGCUUUCAUCCAACCACAAAAGUGGCUCAACUGGUUAUCCCUAGCAGAGUGGUGGUACAACACUAGCUAUCACACAGCUCUCAAGAUCACCCCAUUCCAAGCCUUGCAUGGCAGACCUCCUCAUAUGUUAGCUGAAUCUGCUCUUUAUCCUGUGGAAGAACUGGAACAGUUCCCUGAUGUACUCACUGCUGAACAAACCGCAGCACAUAUUAAAGAACACCUCUUGAGGGCUCAAGCCAGAAUGAAACAUUACGCUGUCAAGAAGAGAUCUGAGAGAACAUUGGAAGUUGGUGACAUGGUAUACCUAAAACUACAACCUUACAGGCAUACCACUCUCAGUAUCCAUAGAUGUCCCAAGUUGCAUUCCAAAUUUUAUGGCCCAUUCAGAGUUAUCCUGAAAGUUGGUACAAUGGCUUACAAGCUCCUUCUUCCUGACGAUUGCAAACUGCAUGAUACUUUUCAUGUGAGCCAGCUCAAGAAGCAUAUUGGCCCAAUGGCGAUUCCAAACCCCAAGCUCCCCUUGCUCAACCCGGAUGGAACAAUCUUACUAGAACCAGAACAACUGCUCGAACGCAAACUGGUACCGCGUGUGCAAGGCAACAUCAGUAUCCCCGUGGUUCGAUGGCUCAUCAAAUGGAGUAAUCUACCUCUGGAGGAGGCCACUUGGGAGGACGCCACAUUCAUACAAAAAGUGUUUCCUAAUUUCCAGCCCUGA
rnacentral:rRNA from 1 species